rnacentral:rRNA from 1 species
UAAUUCGGAUUAGCUAGUUGGUGGGGUAAAGGCCUACCAAGGCGACGAUCUGUAGCGGGUCUGAGAGGAUGAUCCGCCACACUGGGACUGAGACACGGCCCAAACUCCUACGGGAGGCAGCAGUGGGGAAUAUUGGACAAUGGGGGGAACCCUGAUCCAGCCAUGCCGCGUGUGUGAAGAAGGCCUUUUGGUUGUAAAGCAC